UACGAACUGUGCGAACGUUAUUCGGAAUCACUGGGCUUACAGGGUGCGUAGGCGGCCUGUCAAGUAGGGUGUGAAAGCCCCCAGCUCAACCCGGGAAUGGCGCCCUAAACUGACGGGCUGGAGUGAGAUAGGGGUGUGCGGAACUUCCGGUGGAGCGGUGAAAUGUGUUGAUAUCGGAAGGAACGCCGGUGGCGAAAGCGGCACACUGGAUCUCAACUGACGCUGAGGCACGAAAGCCAGGGGAGCGAACG
rnacentral:rRNA from 1 species